CGACCGGUAGAAGUCCUUCGGGACUUUGAGAGCGGCGUACGGGUGCGUAACACGUGUGCAACCUACCUUUAUCUGGGGAAUAGCCUUUCGAAAGGAAGAUUAACACCCCAUAAUAUAAUGAUUGGCAUCAAUUAUUAUUGAAAACUCCGGUGGAUAGAGAUGGGCACGCGCAAGAUUAGAUAGUUGGUGAGGUAACGGCUCACCAAGUCUGUGAUCUUUAGGGGCCCUGAGAGGGAGAUCCCCCACACUGGUACUGAGACACGGACCAGACUCCUACGGGAGGCAGCAGUGAGGAAUAUUGGACAAUGGGUGAAAGCCUGAUCCAGCCAUCCCGCGUGAAGGAUGACGGUCCUAUGGAUUGUAAACUUCUUUUGUACAGUAAUAAACCUACUCUCGUGAGAGUAGCUGAAGGUACUGUACGAAUAAGCACCGGCUAACUCCGUGCCAGCAGCCGCGGUAAUACGGAGGGUGCAAGCGUUAUCCGGAUUUAUUGGGUUUAAAGGGUCCGUAGGCGGGCCUGUAAGUCAGUGGUGAAAUCUCAUAGCUUAACUAUGAAACUGCCAUUGAUACUGCAGGUCUUGAGUAAAUUUGAAGUGGCUGGAAUAAGUAGUGUAGCGGUGAAAUGCAUAGAUAUUACUUAGAACACCAAUUGCGAAGGCAGGUCACUAAGAUUUAACUGACGCUGAUGGACGAAAGCGUGGGUAGCGAACAGGAUUAGAUACCCUGGUAGUCCACGCCGUAAACGAUGCUAACUCGUUUUUGGAUCUUCGGAUUCAGAGACCAAGCGAAAGUGAUAAGUUAGCCACCUGGGGAGUACGUUCGCAAGAAUGAAACUCAAAGGAAUUGACGGGGGCCCGCACAAGCGGUGGAUUAUGUGGUUUAAUUCGAUGAUACGCGAGGAACCUUACCAAGACUUAAAUGGGAAAUGACAGGUUUAGAAAUAGACCCUUCUUCGGACAUUUUUCAAGGUGCUGCAUGGUUGUCGUCAGCUCGUGCCGUGAGGUGUUAGGUUAAGUCCUGCAACGAGCGCAA
rnacentral:rRNA from 1 species